AAAAUUCAUAUACUUCCUCAAAAUUCACUUUGAAAAUGAGACAAGGCUUCCUAGAUUUCUUAACCAUGUCAAUCACUUCAUUCAAAGUCACCAUACCAUCCACCAACAUUCUACCUAAUAGAAAAACAUGUUGAUUUGGGGAAUCAAGCUUUUACAUGACCUCCCUUAGUUUAUAAGCUAACACUUUAGCUAAUAGCUUGUAUAAAGAACCAACUAAAUAAAUAAGCCUGAAAUCAUUUAACUCAACAUGAACAUUUUAGCUACUAGCUUGUUGCGAAUUCUCCCAUUCUUUUUUUCUUAGUGAGCGCAUCCUUCAUGAACUUUGAGUAGUUUGGCAUAUGUUGGAUGACUUCAAUCAGGGGGAUAUUGAUGUGAAGUUAUUUCAGAAUCUCCAUAAACUUGCCAAAUUGUUGCUCCUCUUUAGCCUUCCUAAUCCUUUGGGGAAAUGGAGGUGGAGGUCUCUCUUGAACAAUUUUUUUCAUUCUGUCAACUUCAAGCAUGACUUCUGGAUGUCUUUCUGAAUUAGAAGUCAUGCCAGCAGUUAGGGGUGGACAUUCGGGAACCAUCCGAAGAAAACCGACCAAACCGAGUGGUUCGAAAUUGUUGCGGUCGAUUUCAAUCGGUUUUGCAGACUGGGCGGAUGAAAAAAUUGGGCUUGAUUGGAUAUACAUGGUCGGGUUCAGAUGGUUUUGUUGGGUCCGUCGGAAUCCGGACCCGCCCGAUCUAUUAUUAUUAGUUUAUAACUUGCAUUUGUAACCCUAAUCUAUAAAAUCUCACGCCUCAACUCAACUCUUCCCCGCCGCCCCCUCUUUCACAACCUUCACUCUCUCACCACCCAUAAACCAUCGUGAUGUUUCCUUCAGUCCUUCACUACAACCAUCAACACCGUCACUACUGAAACCAUAGAGAAUGAAGGUGGAUCUAUUGAUGUAGCCUUCAUGCCUUAUCACUUCAUGUAGCCUUCAAGCAUUGCUUUACUAUCACUUGAUGAGUUGAUUUGAUGGAACCAAAGAUUAUUGUGUGCGCAAAUCCAGUUUUUAGAGGAGAUCUAAUGUUUUGGAGGAUAUUCAUAUUCAAAUCAAUUCAAGGACAUCAAAGAGAAACAAAACAAGGAUCCUCUUAACUAGAGAAGGAUGUUUCCGUCGUUGUGCUAUGCGCCUCUGAUUGAGAUUUCUUGACUGUGUUUUUCAAUAUUGGAGUGAUUUGGAAGAGUGAGCAAAUAGACAACGAUGGAGUUUGGCAUGAUAGCAACCCCCUGAGACGAAAGAGAGGAUGCUAAGAGGCAAAGACGUUUGGUUAUAGCUCUUGCAAAUGGAGGGGUCAGUGUGUUUAUCAAUGUGAUUAAUUUAUAUUUGGUUCUCCCCAAUAAUGCUGGGUUUUUUUUACAGGUUCAUUGUGAGCUUACUGUUUCAAGUAAACUUAGAUAUAGUUUCAAGCUCGCACUUGGAGGCUAAAGGACAUUGGUUUUUAUGGAGCAAGGAGCUGCAUCAAGAGAGAAAUGGAAGUAUAUAAACAACUAUUGUGAAAAUAGAAAGCAGUUUUUGACUUUAGAAAACAUACUCCAUGAUUAUGUUUUUCAGGUAGGAAGUUUGCAGUAGCUUUGUUUUUGUUCCUGUCUAGAAUGUUGUUAUCAAAUAUAUUUGAGAUAAUUUCAAAUUUAUAUUGGUUUUGAUUUUGUUUUGUAUUAUAUUUUAAUAAAUUUGUGAUUUAUGUAGGUAGAGAUUUAUUUAAUAUUUUGGAUGAUUUAGUAUCCAAGUUGAAAAUAUUCAAAUGUAAUGGAUGAACUCAAAUGACUCAAAAUAGCCCCCUUAACAAAUAUUUAGCAAAUAAUUAGUACUUUUAAAAUUCAAAUAAUUACUAGUUCUUUUUAGUAAAAAAUCAGAUAAUUUUCUAUUUUUAAAAUUAAAAUAAAAUUUAUGUUGGAUUGUAAUUGGACUAAAAAUUUGAGUGGCCCAAUUAAGCUUGUUAAAAAGAAUUUUAAAAAGUAAAAAAAAAAAAAAUUAAUUGGAGUUACAAUUUGGUCAGAAUUUUAUAUUGGCCCAUUAUCAAUGAAAUCCAAAAUAAAUCGGGCUAGUUAUCCGAACCUGGUUCAACCCGAAUCCGAAAAAAAGACUAUUGAAUUGGUCGGAAUUGGGCCCAUAAUUGUCACCCGAGGGUUAGGCCGGAUUGAGGUUUUGGGCCCGAACCCGAUCCGGCCCGAACCGAUGUCCACCCCUACCAGCAGUAUUGUUGUUAUCAUUCUCUCGAUGUUGUUCAGAAGAGGACAAUUCCUCAUUGGGCUUUCCUUCAGCUUCAGAACUCAGAACUGUCUAGUGCAGG